AAAAGAUUUUAUUUAUUUAUUUGACAGACAGAGAUCACAAGUAGGCAGAGAGGCAGGCAGAGAGAGAGGAGGAAGCAGGCUCCCUGCUGAGCCGAGAGCCGGACAACACAGGGCUCAAUCCCAGGACCCUGGGAUCACGACCUGAGCCGAAGGCAGAGGCUCCAACCCACUGAGCCACCCAGAUGCCCCAGGACAGUCUUUUGAUACAAGCACUUGCUAUCUACAUCCUGUUGUAUGAUUUUAUUUAUUCAUUUGUCAAAGAGAGAGAGAACACAAGCACGGGGAAUGGCAGACUGAGGGAGAAGCAGGCUCCCCACUUAGCAAGGAGACUGAUGCUGGACUCAAUCCCAGAACCCUGGGAUCAUG
rnacentral:lncRNA from 1 species